GGAGUAGCGCAAUGGUAGAGCACAAGAUUGUGGAUCUUGCGGCUGCGGGUUCGAGCCCCGUCUC
rnacentral:tRNA from 1 species